GUCUUGUCAAUGAUGUUACCAAACAAAUGUCUGAACCAAUGACUUUCUGUGAUUCAUUUAUUUGUACUGAGACAAGAC
ensembl:snoRNA